GAAAGGGCAGAGAGGCUGUUUCCAAUCGAACCCCGGCUCAUAGGCUAAAAGGAAAAACAGCAGUAAAACAAAAACAAAGAUAAAAACAAAAACAAAAACAAUAGACCAUUAGUAACUCCAGCAGAAAUAGCGUAAAUAAUUAUCUAAACAUACGAAACAUAAGUACAAUCACAUGCAAUAAUAUCAUGCAAUAAUACAGUAACUACCAUAACUAACAGCCAUAGGGGGGACAUAAGCUAAAACACAAAUCAUCUAUGGGUAACCCCGAUGCCCCAGUGAGGAGCUGUGAGCGGCUGGAGAUUGUUGGCAGUCGGCGAGGCAGAGGGAGGCCAAAGAAGUAUUGGGGAGAGGUGAUUAGGCAAGACAUGACUAUCUAUGGGUAACCCUGCUGACCCACACCCAACCCCGGAUGAGGCGUGUGAAAAACUCUAGGAGCCACUAUCCUACAACCCUGAUUCUAGAC
rnacentral:lncRNA from 1 species